GAAAUGCGAUAAGUAGUGUGAAUUGCAGAAUUUAGCGAAUCAUCGAAUCUUUGAACGCACAUUGCGCCCCUUGGUAUUCCAUGGGGCAUGCCUGUUCGAGCGUCAUUUCAACCCUCAAGCACUGCUUGGUGUUGGGCGUUUGUCCCGCCUACGCGCGUGGACUCGCCUCAAAGUCAUUGGCGGCUGUUCCCCUUCGGCUCGUAAGCGCAGCACAGUCGGCGCCCGGAGCUCUGGUGGGAUGGCGUCCAGCAAGCUAUAUUUCAGGCUUGACCUCGGAUCAGGUAGGGAUACCCGCUGAACUUAAGC
rnacentral:misc_RNA from 1 species